ACUCAAAUGAAUUGACGGGGGCCCGCACAAGCGGUGGAGCAUGUGGCUUAAUUCGUCACUAACCGAAGAACCUUACCAGGGUUUGACAUCCACUGUAAGUCCAUGAAAGUGGCACCCUCUGUAGCAAUACAGACAGUGAGACAGGUGUUGCAUGGCUGUCGUCAGCUCGUGUCGUGAGAUGUUGGGUUAAGUCCCGCAACGAGCGCAACCCUCACACGAUGUUGCCAGCGUAAAGUCGGGAACUCUUCGUGAACUGCCCGUGUAAGCGGGAGGAAGGUGGGGAUGACGUCAAGUCGGCAUGGCCCUUACACCCUGGGCUGCACACAUGCUACAAUGGCCGUUAACAAAGGGAAGCAAAGUCGCGAGGCGGAGCAAAUCUCAAAAAUACGGUCUCAGUUCGGAUUGCAGUCUGCAACUCGACUGCAUGAAGUCGGAAUCGCUAGUAACCGCAGGUCAGCUAAACUGCGGUGAAUACGUUCCCGGGCCUUGUACACACCGCCCGU
rnacentral:rRNA from 1 species